GGGGCUGUCAUGGUUUCGACAGGGAUAUCCGUUAUAUAGGGAGCAGUCGGUUGACUCCGUUAGAGGUCAAAAGCCAAUUAAAUGGCAAACCACAACUUGCUUUUGCUGCUUAGUUAACUAAAACUACAUAGCUCACUAUUCGAGAGUAGCAACGUCGGCUUAUGAUUGGUCAUUUGUCUUAGGUUAGGCGUAAUAUAAAAUGACUAGGGUUCUAUGGGCGGAUAGACAUAGGGCUUGAAAACUAAUUUAUCCUGGUCUUAGAGGUUAUUUGUUAAUUGUUAACCAUUAAGAUAAGAAAAUAACAAUUAACUAAGCUGUAGCGCCUUAUGUAAUGGUAUUUUUGGACACGGGUUCGACUCCCGUCAGCUCCACCA
rnacentral:tmRNA from 1 species